AUUGAACGCUGGCGGCAUGCUUUACACAUGCAAGUCGAACGGCAGCGCGGGCUUCGGCCUGGCGGCGAGUGGCGAACGGGUGAGUAAUGCAUCGGAACGUGCCCAGUAGUGGGGGAUAGCCCGGCGAAAGCCGGAUUAAUACCGCAUACGACCUGAGGGUGAAAGCGGGGGACCGAAAGGCCUCGCGCUAUUGGAGCGGCCGAUGUCGGAUUAGCUAGUUGGUGGGGUAAAGGCUUACCAAGGCGACCAUCCGUAGCUGGUCUGAGAGGACGACCAGCCACACUGGGACUGAGACACGGCCCAGACUCCUACGGGAGGCAGCAGUGGGGAAUUUUGGACAAUGGGGGCAACCCUGAUCCAGCCAUGCCGCGUGCGGGAAGAAGGCCUUCGGGUUGUAAACCGCUUUUGUUCGGGAAGAAAUCCUCUGGGCUAAUACCCCGGGGGGAUGACGGUACCGGAAGAAUAAGCACCGGCUAACUACGUG
rnacentral:rRNA from 1 species